AGUGAACGCUGGCGGUAGGCCUAACACAUGCAAGUCGAACGGCAGCACAGUAAGAGCUUGCUCUUACGGGUGGCGAGUGGCGGACGGGUGAGGAAUACAUCGGAAUCUACUUUUUCGUGGGGGAUAACGUAGGGAAACUUACGCUAAUACCGCAUACGACCUACGGGUGAAAGCAGGGGAUCUUCGGACCUUGCGCGAUUGAAUGAGCCGAUGUCGGAUUAGCUAGUUGGCGGGGUAAAGGCCCACCAAGGCGACGAUCCGUAGCUGCUCUGAGAGGAUGAUCAGCCACACUGGAACUGGGACACGGUCCAGACUCCUACGGGAGGCAGCAGUGGGGAAUAUUGGACAAUGGGCGCAAGCCUGAUCCAGCCAUACCGCGUGGGUGAAGAAGGCCUUCGGGUUGUAAAGCCCUUUUGUUGGGAAAGAAAAGCAGCAGGUUAAUACCCCGCUGUUCUGACGGUACCCAAAGAAUAAGCACCGGCUAACUUCGUG
rnacentral:rRNA from 1 species